GCCUGGCUGGCUCAGUCGGAGGAGCACGUGACUCAUGAUCCUGGGGUUGUGAGUUCAAACCCCACGUUGGGUA
rnacentral:tRNA from 1 species